rnacentral:lncRNA from 1 species
CAGUCGCGGACGCGGGGGCUUCUCCGCCCUUGAACAGCACCCUCCAGGCAGCUUCGUACGUCGUGUCGAAGAGCCCGCUCAGGGUCCGGUGCUGUGCCGGAUCGAACUCCCACAAAGUGAAGGCCCGCUGUUGGCAGGGGAGAAUCCGGCGGACGAGCAUGACCUGGAUCACAUUGACAAGCCUAAGCUUCUUGUUCACCAAGGUUUGAAGACAGGACUGGAGUCCUGUCAGCUCCUCCGAACUGCCCCAUAGCAAGCCCUUCUCUUUCCAGGAGGUGAGCUGCAUGGGGAUACCAGAUCUGAACUCGGGGGCCGCUGCCCAUUUAGGGUCACGCGGCUCGGUGAUGUAGAACCACCCCGAUUGCCAUCCCUUGAUGGACUACACGAAGGCCCCCUCGAGCCAGGUGACGUUGGGCAUUUUGCCCACCAUGGCGCCUCCGCACUCCGCUUGAGCGCCCUUCACCACCUUCGGCUUGACAUUGAAGGUCUUGAGCCACAAGCCGAAGUGAGGCCGGAUGCAGAGGAAGGCCUCGCACACGACGAUAAAUGCCGAGAUGUUGAGGAUGAAGUUCGGCGCUAGAUCGUGGAAAUCCAGGCCGUAGUAGUACAUGAGCCCCCGGAUGAAGGGAUGAAGUGGGAAGCCCAGUCCGCGGAGGAAGUGGGGAAGGAAUACGACCCUCUCAUGGGGCCUAGGGGUGGGGAUGAGCUGCCCCUCAUCGGGUAGUGUGACACCCGGAUAAUUAAGCUACAGUAAUUCUCUGCUAAUGAUGCCAUGACACCUCGGUUACUGUUGCUAUCCUCGCAAUAAUUCGAAACCGUUCGAAAUUCAAAUUCAAAUUAAUGGUAACAAUAAAAGUUUUCAAAAAUUAAAACAAAAAUGUUCGGUGGUUGCCGAAUAUUACAAAGGUAAUUAUGGUGCAACAUACACAUUUUUAUAAAAUGGCUAAAUGGUUUAAAAUGAUUUAAACAGAAAAGAAAGUAAAUUAAAAAAAGAAAAGAAAACAGGAAACAAACAAAAAAGGGAAAAGAAAGAAAGGCCCCACUAGGCUUCGGCCUAGUAGGCCGGCCCAUUCGGCCACACCGACCGGCCCAUCCCCUCCCCCUCCACAACCCCAACAGGGGGAAACCCUAACCCCAUCCACCCACUCUCCCCACGUCGCCCCCCUCCUCUCUCCCGAUCUGGAUCGGGAUCCAGAGGAGGCCACCGCCGCCUGGAACCGCCGACGCCGCCCGGUGCUGUCCCGUCCCUCGCCGCACGCCUGACGCCGCCCGGAACCCCCUCGACAGACCACCUCGCAGGCCUGCUCCUCCACGUCGACGUCGACCCCGUCCCCCUCCACAACGGCCUUCCCCGACCUCCAUCGCGCCCGCUGCCCUAGUCCCUACUCCCCCACCGUGAGCUCCCUCCCUCUCCCUCAUUCGCUCACCGCACCGUUCGCGCUCUCGCAUGCGCCGCGCCCGCCGUGGCCCCUGCUCGCGNNNNNNNNNNNNNNNNNNNNNNNNNNNNNNNNNNNNNNNNNNNNNNNNNNNNNNNNNNNNNNNNNNNNNNNNNNNNNNNNNNNNNNNNNNNNNNNNNNNNNNNNNNNNNNNNNNNNNNNNNNNNNNNNNNNNNNNNNNNNNNNNNNNNNNNNNNNNNNNNNNNNNNNNNNNNNNNNNNNNNNNNNNNNNNNNNNNNNNNNNNNNNNNNNNNNNNNNNNNNNNNNNNNNNNNNNNNNNNNNNNNNNNNNNNNNNNNNNNNNNNNNNNNUACCCGCCUCCCCUCUCCUCCUCGUCGCCGCUAGCAUCUGUUGCCGCCGCCGCAGCCUUCAGUCCGCCUGCGCCGUUCCGCCAUGCCCAGCGUCCCGUGCCCCGUGGGCACCAGCGCUCCCCCCCGGGUCGAGCUUGACCGCCCCAGCCCGGUGAAACUCGCCCCACUGCAGCCCCCUUCCCCCCCCCUCACCGCGCCGCCCCAGUGCUCGCCUCUGCUUCCCGCCGGCGCCCAUCACCGGCCGGCCGCCCUGGCGCGCACCGGCGCCUGGCCGCGUCGUGCGCCCAGCGCCCCUCGGGCAUGCGUUGUUCGGGUGACGCCCGCACCCAGCGCCCAACCCACUAUGGCCCUGGGUCACUGCCAAACGGGGCCCGCGCCCUCCCACGGAACGUUAAAAAAAAGAGAAUUAGUUAAAAUAAUAACAUUAAUUAAUUAAUCAACUUAAUUAAUUUUGAUUAAUUAAGCUAAACAACUAAUUAAACAUUAGUUGUUUAAUUAACCUAGUUAGUUAGUUAAUUAGCUAAUUAAGUAGUCAAUGACAGUGGGGCCCACCCCCUAAUUAAUCCUGAUUAGGUUAAAUAAAAUGCUUAAUUAAAAUGUGUCACUGACCAGUGGGACCCACUGGUCAGGUUGACCAGUCAACCCCUGUUGACUGCUGACAUCAGCAUGACAUCAUGCUGAUGUCAUAAAUCCAUUUUCGAAUUAAGUUAAAUAAUUAAUUAAAUUCCAGAAAUUAAUAAAAUCUUUAGAAAAUCAUAUCUUUUAAUCCGUAACUCGGAUUAAAUUAUUUUCAACAUGAAAGUUGCUUAGAACGACGAGACGAUUCCGAAUACGCAACCCGUUCAUCCGCCACGCGUCCCUAGCAUAGUGAACCUGCAACAUUUCACCUCCGGUUCAUCUGUCCGAAAACACAGAACACCGGGGAUACUUUCCCGGAUGUUUCCCCCCUUCACCGGUAUCACCUCAUACCGUGUUAGAACACGUCUAGCUCUGCUUGAUGUCCUGUUAUGCACUUGCUUGCUAUGUAUUUACUGUUUCUCCCCCCUCUUCUCUCCGGUAGACCCCGUGACGAUGUUGAUGCCCCUGUGGUCGACUACGUCACCGACGACCCCUCCUUGUCUGAGCAACCAGGCAAGCCCCCCCAUUGAUCACCAUAUAUCGCCUAUUCUCCUCUAUACUGCUUGCAUUAGAGUAGUGUAGCAUGUUACUGCUUUCCGUUGAUCCUAUUCUGAUGCAUAGCCUGACAUUGUUGCUACAUUUGUUGAUACCUUACCUGCAAUCCUAAAUGCUUAGUAUAGGAUGCUUGUUUAUCAUUGGCCCUACAUUCUUGUCAGUCUGCCUUGCUAUACUAUCGGGCCGUGAUCACUUGGGAGGUGAUCACGGGUAUAUACUAUACAUACAUACAUACUAUACAGAUGGUGACUAAAGUCGGGUCCGCUCGAAGAUUACCCGCGAGUGAUUCACGGAUUGGGGGCUGAAAGGACCUUUGUCCUGACGGCCCUCUGUGUGGAUCUUUGUGGCGGAGCAACAUGGCAGGUUGAGACCACCUAGGCGAGAGGUGGGCCUGGCCCUGGUCGGCGUCCGUGGUGGCUUCAUAAUAACACGCUUAAUGAGAUCUUGGUAUUUGAUCUAAGUCUGGCCAUUUGGUCUAUACGCACUAACCAUCUACGCGGGAGUAGUUAUGGGUAUCCCGGCGUCGUGGUAUCAGCCGAAGCCUUCGUGACGUCAGCCACUGAGUGGCGCGCGCCGGAUUGGACUGGAACGCCACUAGGCUAGGUCUGCUUCCGGCCGCGUUUGCAACGUGCAGGUGUGGAAAGGGCGAUGGGCCCAGACCCCUGCGCCAUAGGAGUUAGACCGACAUGCUGACCUCUCUGUUGUGCCUAGGUGGGGCUGCAACGUGUUGAUCUUCCGAGGCCGGGCAUGACCCAGGAAAGUGUGUCCGGCCAAAUGGGAUCGAGCGUGUUGGGUUAUGUGGUGCACCCCUGCAGGGAAGUUUAUCUAUUCGAAUAGCCGUGUCCCUCGGUAAAAGGACGAUCCAGAGUUGUACCUUGACCUUAUGACAACUAGAACCGGAUACUUAAUGAAACACACCCUUCCAAGUGCCAGAUACAACCCGGUGAUCGCUCUCUAACAGGGCGACGAGGAGAGGAUUGCUAGGUAGGAUUAUGCUAUGAGAUGCUACUUGGAGGACUUCAAUCUACUCUCUUCUACAUGCUGCAAGACGGAGGCUACCAGAAGCGUAGUCUUCGACAUGAUUAGCUAUCCCCUUCUUAUUCUGGCAUUCUGCAGUUCAGUCCACUGAUAUGGCCCUUCACACAUAUACCCAUGCAUAUGUAGUGUAGCUCCUUGCUUGCGAGUACUUUGGAUGAGUACUCACGGUUGCUUUCUCCCCGCUUUUCCCCCGUUCCUUUCUUUCUGGUUGUCACAACCAGAUGCUGGAGUCUAGGAGCCAGAUGCCACCGUCAAUGACGACUACUGCACUGGAGGUGUCUACUACUACGUGCAGGCUGUUGUCGAUGACCAUGAGUAGUUCAGGAGGAUCCUAGGCAGGAGGCCUGCGCCUCUUUCGAUCUGUAUCCCAGCUUGUGCUAGCCUUCUUAAGGCAAACUUGUUUAACUUAUGUCUGUACUCAGAUAUUGUUGCUUCCGCUGACUCGUCUAUGAUCGAGCACUUGUAUUCCAGCCCUCGAGGCCCCUGGCUUGUAUUAUGAUGCUUGUAUGACUUAUUUAUGUUUUUAGAGUUGUGUUGUGAUAUCUUCCCUGAGUCCCUGAUCUUGAUCGUACAUGUUUGUGUGCAUGAUUAGUGUACGAUUGAACCGGGGGCGUCUCAAGUUGGUAUCAGAGCCGACUGCCUGUAGGAAUCCCCCUUUCCAACUCCUUGGCCGAAGUUGAGUCUAGUCGAUGAAAAUUGUUUUACUAACUUGGCUGUGCGGCCCAUGGGCCCACGUUGCCAAAUGGGUGGUAUUAGGAUCUUUUACUCCUCGAUCUUUACUCCGGGAUUCUGAACUCUCUUCUAUUCGGGUUAAACGAUUUUUACUAAAAUCUAACUUUAGGUUCUCGAAAAUACUUUUUCCCGGAGAGCCCCUUCAGUCCAGAUGAUCGCCGGCUGCACUAGAAGAUUUCGAAGAUACUCUCUGAUUUUCUCUCGAGACCUUGUGCCUGUUGCUUUUGCAAUUCCCUUCCACCGAAAUAUCCUUAUGGAUAAAUACUUACACCUGUCGUGCUUACUUUUAUUCCCAGUCGAUCUUGUUAUUGCAAGAUACCCUGAGAAUAUUUUGUGCCUACUGCCUUGCAGUUCUUUGCCACCUGAAUACCCCUAAGAAUAAUUUGUCACACCUUUCGAGUAUCCGCUCAUCCCAAUUUUUCAGGUGUUUCAAAAAAGUCUUUGAAAUACUAUUCAAUCCUCCGAAAAUCCUUAGCAGCUUUAUUGCUCUGCAAAUACUUGUCUACUAGCAUUAUGGAUGCUUCCCAUAUAUCUGGCAAUAUUCACUAGUAUCUUUUGACACCGUCAUUUUGAUCCUAUUGAUUCAAUAUGUGUGUGAAUGCACACAAUCAUCUAUCAACCCUUCUAAAUUAUCUUUCCGACUCAGACAUCAUUGUUGAACAUGAGCUGGUUCUCGACCAAACUAUUUGUCGCCAAUUGUGCCUCUGGUCUAUCCAACUUAUCCAUCCUUGAUCAGAGCGACUGCUUCUGAUCCUUUGUUUUGGAAAUCGUAAUUCCUUUGUUAUCUAACCAUCGAAUUAUUCCGAUGUUCUAUAAUAUAAUGCUUGUGCAUUUUUUCUUCUGAUGGAGUACCAAUACUCACAUCAGCUCCGUUGUGGAUCACCCGAUCCAUUGUUGGAUUGUUAUCCGACAGUGUCCUUCAUAUUCAAUCACCUGGUGAGUUCUUCCCCUGAUACAUAGUGCCUUUGGUAAAUUGUAUCAUCUGCUUGGCCAACCAUGCUCUGCUUUCGAGCUGGUAGUAUUUACUAUUGAAGCUUAUGGUAUAUGUUUCCACGAUACCCUAACGGGUUGAACCUAUGCAUUCCUUAAUAUGUGUGAACUCGAAAGUUUUCACGAGUCAUACUCUUCUGGUAUUUUGCUAGAUAAACUUUCAACACUACAACUGCUUCGAAUGUGAGAGGUGAAUGGAAGGUUAUACAUUAAAGAAGUGGGAGUCGACCUUGAACUUUGUGUUCAUGCCCAUGGACAUGAUGUGGGACCUAUCACCUACCAUAGAAGCUUCUUGUUAUAAUAACUAUUUCGUUGAUAUAAUACCAUCUGGUAUCUGUGGAUUGAUCCUAUGCAAUCGUGGUUCCGACCCUAUUUUCUCUUUGAUCCCAUUUCUCGGGCAAGUUAAAGCACUUGUCUUUUGCAAGUCAAUACACCAGUCCAACCUCUACCUUGAUCUACCCUCGGGUAUCUCGAGAAUAUCUAAGAACUGUGUUGCUUCUUAUGAGUCUUCAUCAGCUAUUAUUUCUCACUGAUUCCAAUUUUCUCGGGUUCUGGGUUGUCGUCAAUCGAGAACAUCGAUUCCGCAUUUCGAUUCGACAACCCUAAGUAAUUUUCGUUGCUUAUGAGUUUAUUAAUCCUUUAAGUCUUUCCUAGCCUGAUCGGCUAUAUCGUUAUCGUGCUCAAUUUUAGCAGUGCUACCUGGUCCUUAUUCCCGGAGCAUAACUUUCGGUGAUGAGCUAAGCUUACGUUGAUCUUCCUCGUCUUAUCGUUUCACCUCAAACAGCAAGCUUGGUUUCGAGUCUGUGUCGUAUCCGUGAUUCCAAUAAACCUUCGCUUCACCAUUGCUUUUGCUAGAUGUCGUCGCUGUUCGAUUGCUUCUUCGUGAAGCCUCUCGACAAAAUUUGUCGUGAUGAUCAUAAUCAACAUUUUGACUCCUUCCAGGAUAUCAACCAAAUUCAUGAUGGUAAGUACCAUCCUCGUCCCUUGGUAAUUUGAGUUACCAUCGACAACAUCCUUAUCUCUCUUUCAUCAUAAACUUGUUUAUGUUGUGGAUGCAACUUGCUACCGAGCUUGUAUUACGUUCUACCUUGAAGUAUUACCACCUUGUAUGUCAAGGAUGUUGUGAUAAUUGCUCCACCUCUUGACAAUUCUUGAUAUAUUAUUACUUCUCGCCAUCUCCGUUCAUUCCUUGGUCCCUCCCUGUUGUUCCUAACCGGAAUACCGACAACUGGACUAUGAUGUGUGAAUUCAAAACUUCUAGCAACCCUAUUGUUUGAAGUUAAUGGUUGAUAUUUCAUUCUUAGACCAUUGGUUAUCGAAUCACCAUUCUAACAUUGAUCAUGCCACCUAAGUCCAUAUUUCGGGUGCACCUUUCAACCAAUGUUUAACUGGGUAUGUUUUCCUUGAGCAUGCCUCAUUAUAUCAUUUGAUCUGACAAUUGUUAUCUCUUUGUUCACAUGAUUGUGGAAAUCCAUCUUUUGGAAAUCUCGAUGAAUUGCGGUUUAGUUCAUCAGCCACCCCCUCAUCCUCUCCUUGGUUUGAUGAUGAACUCUUGUUUCGGAACUCGUUUCCAUAGUCCAAUUCCCGAGAAUCUUACAUUGUCAUCUCGACAAUUUGUGUUGCACCUUUUCUUCUCAGACAUCCUGAGUCUGAGGUAUCCUGACACCAAUCAGAUCUGAGUCUCGGUUAGAUAUGAUGGUUGGAACAUAUUUCCAGGAGUUAUAAACAUCUUUACAUGACCCGGUAAGGUGAUGUCAUGCCUAGCACACCUGGCCGGAGGCCCUAUUGUUAUAGAUUCCUUUUCUGCAAGGUUAUCCUUUCUUCCACGAGGAAAUUGUAAGACUUAUUCUACAAGUUGUUCCUGAUGGAUCCUUCCUUUAUCCAAAGUCCGGCCCUUGAUUGAAACACCAUAUCAUUACUACCUCGAAGCAUGACUAUGAUACCCCGCUCAUCAACAAGAACAUUGGAGGCACGAUGCUAAAUGUUUCUUGGUCAGUUAUCCAAACACCGCUGUCAAGAACUUUCUCUCCCCUUACCUAAAGAGUUUUCUACAUUAUAUCUUGUCACAGAUAUCAGGCCCUGCUUGUCCUUGGGGAUGAUAUGUCCCUGAAAUAUGUGUUUAAACACAUUUUUUCCUUUCCAUUGUUCUGUUUAAUCUGAUAAUCAUAUUUUCCUUUCCAUUGUUUGGUUUAACCUUUCUUGUGAUCUAUAUGAUCUAAGAAGUAUUAUUCUCCUGCUUAUGUAAACACCACGGUGUACAAUUCUCUCAGCAAGACCCUGUUACUAUUGUUGAUGACAUUCCGGUAGCCACCGAUGGACGAGAACUUUGCCUAUUGGUCCGCCUCGUUCAACGAGCAGGAUAAUGGUUCUCUUUGUCCCUCGCCCUGGGUACCGACAUUGUUGCCGACAUAACUGACAUGCUACUCUCUGACAUGCCUUGCUAUCAUGACCGUGCAAGAUGUCACUGCUCCUAUUAAAAAAAUCCACAUGGUGGGCCCAUAACCCACGGUUCCACAGGAUCGAAACCUGACUGUCCUGUACACCCCCUAUUCUCAAAGUUAUUCCUCGCGCGUGGCCUCGUAUGUAAUUCACGGGCCACCGUCCUAGUGAUCUAUUCUGGUAUCAGACGCAAUACUUACUCUCGCUACUCUGAACCCUUUCUCACUCUAGUUCAGACUUCGAGCAACUAUCUAUCCGCUUGGAACCUCUUAUUGUACCUUCGUACCUUACUCUCGAUAUAUUUCAUAUGUUCAACUCCAGAGAUAAUCUUAUACUCAUUCAUGGGUUAACCCCAGAUUGUUUCCCUCAAAAGAAUUAUGUCGUAGUGAGCUGCCCCUUAUCCUUUCGUAAGUACGAUGGAGUUCCCGAAGAAAUGAUGACAAGUUUAUCAUGAUGCAUUGGAAUAAAUAAUUGAAGACAUCAACGAAACGGAUUAACUUCUUCGAGAAGAUCCGUUAGAAUAUCGUAACCAGAACUUUCCCCCUUACUCCCCUCUUAAAUCUCGGGACGAGAUUUCUUGUAGUGGAGGAGAAUUGUGACGCCCGGAUAAUUAAGCUACAAUAAUUCUCUGCUAAUGAUGCCAUGACACCUCGGUUACUGUUGCUAUCCUCGCAAUAAUUUGAAACCGUUCGAAAUUCAAAUUCAAAUUAAUGGUAACAAUAAAAGUUUUCAAAAAUUAAAACAAAAAUGUUCGGUGGUUGCCGAAUAUUACAAAGGUAAUUAUGGUGCAACAAACACAUUUUUAUAAAAUGGCUAAAUGGUUUAAAAUGAUUUAAACAGAAAAGAAAGUAAAUUAGAAAAA